rnacentral:rRNA from 1 species
UACGGAGGGUGCGAGCGUUAUCUGGAUUCACUGGGUUUAAAGGGCGCGUAGGCGGCCUACUAAGUCGGACGUGAAAUCCCUCGGCUCAACCGGGGAACUGCGUCCGAUACUGGUGGGCUCGAAUCCGGGAGAGGGAUGUGGAAUUCCAGGUGUAGCGGUGAAAUGCGCAGAUAUCAGGAGGAACACCGGUGGCGAAGGCGGGUCUCUGGGCCGAUACUGACGCUGAGGAGCGAAAGCGUGGGGAGCGAACAGG